AUGAGGCAUUUCUGUGUUGAUUCUUUUCCUGAGACAUCUAUAUAAAGCAAACAACCCCUUUCUUCUCUUCGCAAAGGAAAAAAGAGAAUGGAGGAGACCUUUGUGAACCUGUGCUAGUCAUCUGGUCUCAACCCAGGAUAGUCAGGUUCCUGGGUUCUCUCACCUGGCUCAGACCUCAGCCUUUGGGCCCAUGCUUGCCUGGAAAGAGGAUGCAGAAUUCAAGACACUGUUGAAGAUACGGAAGGAGGAGAUGCUUAAAAGGAAUAUCAUACUCUCCAGAAGGUAAGGUUAGGGAGGGUGGAUACAUGAAAGAUAAUUUAUGAUUUAGUUAAUGUGAUUCAUAGGACAUUAAAGUAUAACUGUGAAGAUAAUCAAUAGAUAUUUACUGUGCAUCUACCUUCAUGGUACUUUUUAUUUUAUUUUUUUUAAACUGACUAUGUUGUACCAUAAACUAUUUAUUGGGUAUAGUUGGGAGAGAAUAUGUUCUAUUUAUUUCAGCUUUGGGCUAGUAUAUAUUAUAUGACAUAUAUUUAUUUUAGUAAAAUUGACUAGAAUACAUAAUUAUCAAGUUAUAUUUAUGUUUUAUAUUUAGUUUUGUAAUUUAAUGUUUCAGUACAUCUAAUGGAAAAAAGAGCAGCUCAAGAAAAGGCAAAAAGACAAAAAAAAAAGGAAAAAAGCUCAAAUUAAGCAUUUGUGGGUUUUUUGCUUAUUAGUUAAACAAAAAUUACAUAAUACCAAAUGUGCUUUAAUCUUGAAUUAUUCAGAAGUCACAUUGUGAACUUGCAUAGCUUUAGGGCAGAUCAAAUGAGGCUGUAGACACAUUUAAAUGUAGCUGCAUUACCUAGAUGUAAGUUGAUUAAUGGUAAAUAUGGUGUUAGAUAGGAUAGAACAUGAAAGUACCUGGUAACAGGGAGUUGCAAUACAUAGAACGCUGAAUUUAUCCCAAGUUUAAAUUUAUUCAGCAGUAGAAAGCAUAUGAUCCAGCACAAUUAGGAAAAAAAAUGGAACUUGUACUGAAUACUUUUGUCUAAUAUAAAUGUGUUAAAUUGUACAUUGAGCAGAAAUUGUUGAAUGUAAGCUAUAUAUAAAGCACUUGGCCCUGCUCAUGAGGUAUGCCAUUCAGAGGGCCUGGAGUAUAGUACAUGUUCACUGAGAGUUUUUAAGAUGCCGAUGAAAUAAAACAAGGACCCAAAUAAACA
rnacentral:lncRNA from 1 species